rnacentral:rRNA from 1 species
UAUAGAUGGAUCCGCGCUGCAUUAGCUAGUUGGUAAGGUAACGGCUUACCAAGGCAACGAUGCAUAGCCGACCUGAGAGGGUGAUCGGCCACACUGGAACUGAGACACGGUCCAGACUCCUACGGGAGGCAGCAGUAGGGAAUCUUCCGCAAUGGGCGAAAGCCUGACGGAGCAACGCCGCGUGAGUGAUGAAGGUCUUCGGAUCGUAAAACUCUGUUAUUAGGGAAGAACAUAUGUGUAAGUAACUGUGCACAUCUUGACGGUACCUAAUCAGAAAGCCACGGCUAACUACGUGCCAGCAGCCGCGGUAAUACGUAGGUGGCAAGCGUUAUCCGGAAUUAUUGGGCGUAAAGCGCGCGUAGGCGGUUUUUUAAGUCUGAUGUGAAAGCCCACGGCUCAACCGUGGAGGGUCAUUGGAAACUGGAAAACUUGAGUGCAGAAGAGGAAAGUGGAAUUCCAUGUGUAGCGGUGAAAUGCGCAGAGAUAUGGAGGAACACCAGUGGCGAAGGCGACUUUCUGG